rnacentral:rRNA from 1 species
GAUGAACGCUGGCGGCGCGCCUAACACAUGCAAGUCGAACGGCACCCCUCCUCGUAGGGAAGCGAGUGGCGAACGGCUGAGUAACACGUGGAGAACCUGCCCCCUCCCCCGGGAUAGCCGCCCGAAAGGACGGUUAAUACCGUAUACCCCGGGGUGCCGCAUGGCACCCCGGCUAAAGCCCCGACGGGAGGGGAUGGCUCCGCGGCCCAUCAGGUAGACGGCGGGGUGACGGCCCACCGUGCCGACAACGGGUAGCCGGGUUGAGAGACCGACCGGCCAGAUUGGGACUGAGACACGGCACAGACUCCUACGGGAGGAAGCAGUGGGGAAUCUUGCGCAAUGGGGGGAACCCUGACGAAGCGACGCCGCGUGAGGGACGGAGGCCUUCGGGUCGUAAACCGCUUUCAGCAGGGAAGAGUCAAGACUGUACCUGCAGAAGAAGCCCCGGCUAACUACGUG